UAGGGAAUCUUCGGCAAUGGACGGAAGUCUGACCGAGCAACGCCGCGUGAGUGAAGAAGGUUUUCGGAUCGUAAAGCUCUGUUGUUAGAGAAGAACGUUGGUAGGAGUGGAAAAUCUACCAAGUGACGGUAACUAACCAGAAAGGGACGGCUAACUACGUGCCAGCAGCCGCGGUAAUACGUAGGUCCCGAGCGUUGUCCGGAUUUAUUGGGCGUAAAGCGAGCGCAGGCGGUUCUUUAAGUCUGAAGUUAAAGGCAGUGGCUUAACCAUUGUACGCUUUGGAAACUGGAGGAAUUGAGUGCAGAAGGGGAGAGGGAAAUUCCAUGUGUAGCGGUGAAAUGCGUAGAUAUAUGGAGGAACACCGGUGGCGAAAGCGGCUCUCUGGUCUGUAACUGACGCUGAGGCUCGAAAGCGUGGGGAGCAAACAGG
rnacentral:rRNA from 1 species